UACGGAGGAUCCGAGCGUUAUCCGGAUUUAUUGGGUUUAAAGGGAGCGUAGGUGGAUUGUUAAGUCAGUUGUGAAAGUUUGCGGCUCAACCGUAAAAUUGCAGUUGAAACUGGCAGUCUUGAGUACAGUAGAGGUGGGCGGAAUUCGUGGUGUAGCGGUGAAGUGCUUAGAUAUCACGAAGAACUCCGAUUGCGAAGGCAGCUCACUGGACUGCAACUGACACUGAGGCUCGAAAGUGUGGGUAUCAAACAGG
rnacentral:rRNA from 1 species